GCCCAUCUCAGCUUCCGCUAGUGGAUAGUGCCCAGAAUGAUUUGGCCCAUUCUCCAGCCUGGUCUGGCCCAAACAAUUGGAGUAACUCAGAAUUAGAGUUUAUUAAACUCUGGGUGAUGGAAGGUUUGAGAAAGCAGCUAGCAGAAGAACUACAAACAGUGGAGACGUCAAAGACCGAUCAUGCCUUAAUUGAAGAAGCUAUGAGGUAUGGGAAUGUUUUUGCUUCUUGGGGAAAAAGGGUUUCUGGGCCCUCUCCAUCUCUUUCUUUUCCUUUUGGUCGGACUCCAUUGGGGGAGUAUUACGACUAUUCGGGGGCAGUUAGUGAGGCAGUCCAGGGGGAGAUACCGUUGUGUAUGGUCACUGCAUCUGGGAUUACAGAGGGUGCACCCACGACAUGUUGGGAUUUGAUAGAGGUGAAUAAUGGUAGCAAUAAGGAAAGAAGAAUGGAGUUGUGUUAAGCUCAAUCUGAGCCACAGGAAGAUAGGGAUUGGGAGGAGAAUAGUUGGGAGGAAAGCAGCCUGGCAAGGUUCACCAAUUUCCUGGGCUUCUUGACAGAGGGGUGGAGAAGGAUAUUCUAGCUUUUUUGAUUAAAAUCAGAAAAAGAAGGGAGAGAAUUCAUAGUAAAGGUUUAUUGGAGAAAUCAAAAUUUGAAAGGGAGCUAAAGAGACUAGAGUGCUCAAUUAACCAUGAGGGAGGGAAAAAGCAAAAAUGCCCCAUGCAGGGAAGAGGGUGUCAGAUCACGGAAGUCUAAUGAAGAUCAGAUUGUUGAGUUGGAAUGUGCGUAGAGCAAAUGACAGCUCCAAAAGGAAGUUAAUAAAGGCUCUCAUAAGAAAUCAGAGGGUGGAUUUAUUUCGUCUUCAGGAGACGAAAAUUCAUGCAAUGACUGAGGGUGUGGUGAGGAGUUUGGGCACUGGGAGAUUUUUAGAUUGGGGGGCCUUGGAUGCUUUUGGCUCAGCGGGAGGAAUUUUGAUCUGUUGGGAUAAAAGGACAUUGGAAGUACUAGCUUUGGAGGUAGGUCAAUUUUCAGUCUCUUGUAGGUUCAGGAAUGUGGAAGAUGGGUUUGUCUGGAUGUUCACAGGAGUAUAUGGUCCGUUCUCUAGAGAAGAAAGGGAAUGCCUGUGGGAAGAGCUAGGGGCGAUCAGAGGAAUUUGGGAAGACCCCUGGUGUUUAGGGGGUGAUUUCAAUAUCAUUCUAUUUCAAAGGGAAAGGAGUAGGCAAGGGAGGUUAACAGUAGCGACGAGAAGAUUUGCCUAGAUUGUUGAUGAGUUAGGGCUAGUAGACUUACCUUUGCAAGGGGGGUUGCUCACUUGGAACGGGGGACAAAAUAAUUAGCCUUGGGCUAGAUUGGACAAAUUUCUAGUGACUCAGAAUUGGCUUGACCAGUUUAGUGGAGUCCUUCAGAGCAGGCUGCCUCGACCUACUUCAGAUCAUUUCCCUAUUUUGCUAGAGGGUGGUGGGUUAAGAAGAGGACCUUCCCCUUUUAGAUUUGAAAAUAUGUGGCUCAAAGUGGAAGGUUUCAAGGAUCUCCUAUGGAGUUGGUGGCAGGGGACUGUUGUAAGAGGUAGUGCCAGUUUUAGACUAGUUGCUAAGCUGAAAGAGGUAAAACAAAAAAUCAGAUUUUGGAAUAGGGAUGUUUUUGGAAGGCUGGAAUUUAACAAAAAUUCAGCUCUUCAACAAGUGGAGUUUUGGGAUUUGGUGGAAAGUGAGAGGAGUCUGUCAGAAGAGGAAACAGAGAUAAAAAAGGAAACAAAGGAAAAUUAUAAAAAGUGGGUUCUAUUGGAAGAAAUUCAUUGGAGACAACUUUCAAGGGACAUAUGGUUAAAGGAAGGGGAUAGGAACACAGGUUUCUUUCACCGGCUGGCAAAUGCCCACCGUAGAAAUAACUCUUUGGAUAAAAUUAAGAUAAAUGGGGUGUGGCUGACUGAGGAGCAAGAUGUGAGGGAAGGGGUAGCUAACGCUUUUCAUCAAUUGUUAUCAGAAAAUUCAGAAUGGAAAACUGAUAUUGAGGGGCUGCAACUCAAUCAUCUAAGUACCCAAGAAGUUGAGAGUUUGGAACUACCUUUCUCUGAGGAAGAAAUCCGUUCUGCUUUGAUGGAAAUGAAUGAUGAUAAAGCCCUAGGCCUGGAUAGAUUCACAGUGGCUUUUUGGCAAACUUGUUGGGACUUUGUGAAGGAGGAGAUCUUGGAACUGUUUAAGGAAUUUUAUGAUCAAAGUUUCUUUGUCAAAAGCCUAAAUACUACUUUUCUGGUGCUAAUCCCAAAGAAAGGAGGGGCUGAGGACCUUGGGGAUUUCCGACCUAUAAGCUUGUUAGGGGGACUAUAUAAAUUGUUGGCUAAGGUGUUGGCAGGUUUAAGAAGGUGAUAGGAAAAGUGGUUUCCUUGGAUCAAAAUGCAUUUGUGAUGGGCGGACAGAUCUUGGAUGCUUCUCUAAUAGCAAAUGAGGUGAUUGAUUCUUGGCAAAAAAGAAAAGAGAAAGGGCUAAUUUGUAAAUUGGAUAUAUGAAAAAGCUUAUGACAGCAUCAAUUGGCACUUUAUAAUGAGGGUUAUGCAAAAGAUGGGCUUUGGGUCAAAGUGGAUGGGAUGGAUGUGGAGAUGCAUUUCAACAGUUAAGUUUUCUGUCUUGGUUAAUGGGGUGCUGACAGGGUUCUUUUUCGAGUUCUAAGGGGCUGCAUCAAGGAGACCCCUUACCUCCUUACUUCUUUGUUAUGGAAAUGGAAGUGCUGAGUGUUCUCAUAACAAGGGCUAUUGAUGGGGGCUUUCUCUCAGGGUGCAGAAUUUGGGGAAGAGGAGGGACAGAAAUGAAUAUUUCUCAUUUGCUUUUUGCUGAUGAUACAGUUGUUUUCUGUGAGGCAAAGAAAGAACAUCUAAACUUAUUUGAACUGGANNNNNNNNNNNNNNNNNNNNNNNNNNNNNNNNNNNNNNNNNNNNNNNNNNNNNNNNNNNNNNNNNNNNNNNNNNNNNNNNNNNNNNNNNNNNNNNNNNNNAGGGCUAUGAUGGGGCUUCUCUUCAGGGUGCAGAUUUGGGAGAGGAGGGACAGAAAUGAAUAUUUCUCAUUUGCUUUUUGCUGAUGAUACAGUUGUUUUCUGUGAGGCAAAGAAAGAGCAUCUAACUUAUUUGAACUGGACUUUGUUUUGGUUUGAAGCUGCGUCUGGCUUAAGAAUCAACUUGGGUAAAAGUGAAAUCUUUCCAGUUGGUGAGGUGGAAGAGGUUGAAGAAUUGGUAGUGGAGUUAGGGUGUAGGGUGGGGUCUUUGCCCUCUUCUUACUUGGGCCUGCCCUUAGGGGCUCAUCAUAAUUCUCUUUCUGUGUGGGAUGGGGUGGAAGAGAGAGUGCGGAGGAGAUUAGCGCUUUGGAAAAGACAAUAUAUUUCCAAAGGCGGAAGAAUCACUCUCAUAAAGAGCAUGAUGGCUAGUAUGCCCCUCUACCAGAUGUCUCUCUUUUGAAUGCCCAAGGUAGUUGCAAGAAGACUAGAAAAUUUACAAAGAUUUUCUAUGGGGAGGGGGAAAUUUGGAGAGAAAAGUCCAUUUAGUUAAAUGGGAGGUGGUGUGUGCGGAUAAGGAGAAGGGUGGACUAGGAAUAAGGAAGCUAGCUCUUUUGAACAAGGCCUUGCUUGGCAAAUGGACAUGGAGAUUUGCCUGUGAAAAGGAAAACUUUUGGAAGAAGGUGAUUUCGGUGAAGUAUGGGCAAGAGGGCCUUGGUUGGAGGACAAAUGAAGCUAAUGGGACGUUUGGAGUGGGGGUUUGGAAGGAGAUUUUGAAGGAAACAAACUGGUGCUGGGAAAAUAUAAAGUUCAAAGUUGGUAAUGACACUAAAAUAAGAUUCUGGACUGAUCAUUAGUGUGGCAUUGCAGCGUUGUCUCAAAGCUUGCCCCAAUUAUAUGCUUUGGCUGUCCAUAGGAAUGCAACGGUGGAUGAAGUGAGGGAUUCGUUUUUUGGUCAAGGAAGAUGGAAUCUAAGAUUCAUUAGAGCUUUUAAUGAUUGGGAGCUGGAUUUGGUAGGAGACUUGUUAACUAUUUUGAGGGGCUACAGGCUAACUUUAGAGGAGGAUUUAGUUACUUGGAAGGGUGGGGGAAAUGGAAAGUUUGGUGUUAAGGAAGCGUACAAUCUGUUGUUUGCUCCCAAUGACAUUUCCUUUCUGAAGAAUUGCAUUUGGGUGGAUAGAGGCCCUAACCAAAGUUGCCUUUUUUGCUUGGGAGGCUACGUGGGGGAAGGUUCUUACCCUAGAUAGACUCCAAAAAAGAGGGUGGCAGCUCCCAAAUCGUUGUUUUUUGUGCGGCUGUGAAGAAGAAACUGUAAAUCAUAUUAUUUUACACUGUAUAGUGGUCAGAGUCCUUUGGGAGAUUGCCCUUGUCUUGUUUGGCAUUCAGUGGGUGUUCCCUGAAACAGUAAAAGAGGUGUUAUCUAGUUGGAGGGGCCCUUUUGUGGGCAAAAAAAAGAAAAAGAUCUGGAAAUCCAUUUCGUUGUGUAUUUUUUGAACGGUUUGGAAGGAAAGGAAUAGAUUAACUUUUAGGGGGGGCUAUUUAACAAUACAGAAACUCAAAAUUCUUUUGUUUGUAAUUUGUGGAGUUGGGCUAGUGUGUAUAUUGGAGAGGAGUCCUCUCUCUUAAAGUGGUUAGCUUUCACUUAAGGGCUGGUGAGGUUUUUUUGUUUCAUAGCUUGCUCUUAGAGGUUUAGGCUACCUUGUAUGCAUCAUGUAUGCUUUGUGGCUGUUUGCCUUUUGAUAAUAUACUUCAGGUUUAUUUAUCAAAAAUAAUAAUAAUAAUAAUAAUAAUAAUAAUAAUAAUAAUAAUUUAUUGAUUUUAAUUUUUCUUCACUUUUUAUUUUCUUUUACUUUUCUUCCUUUUUAUUUUCUUUCCCUCGCAUUUUCCUUCAAAAUUUUCGGGAACCAAACAUAGCCUAAGGGAAAUUUAUUUUAGUUUCAAAGAUGUUGGAUGUGCAUUGUCAAAGAUUCUUCUGUGUGAUGCACCUCCCAAAUGUACAAAUGAGUCAAAGAGGCGUACAAAUGAGUCAAAGAGGCUUAACUUCUGAAUGUUCUUUCAAUCUGCAUUCUCAACAAUAAUCAACCAUCAACAAAACAGAUCCUUUGUGAUCUUGGCACAAUCAAAGGACUCUGAAAGAAGAAAAUCCCAAAGCUCCUGGGGUACCAAACAGUAAGCAAAGAGAAGGUUUACUUACUCAGCCAUCCUUUUGCAUGUUGUACACCUCCUUGAGAUUGCUAUCUUUUACAUCCACUGUUCAGCAUUUACCACUAAUCCUGGUCUGCAUGAGAAAGCCACUUUUGAGGGAUAAUAAACUGCUCAAAUCCUUCCCAUGAGUCGAGACUUCACUUAAUUAAGGAUGUCCAUCUUCCACACCCUGCAACUUGUAGAACAUCUUCACUACCGACAACCUGUUGGACCCUUCUGAAUUGAAGUUUUCUUUUCAACCCUACUAAGCAUUGGGAGCAUAUCCUUUUGAAGAACUGCAAAACGACCUUCAACUUUCAGUCUUGGAAUCCUUUUUAAGAGUAUAGGGAUCCAAUUGCAGCCUAUCAAUCCCACAUGCACAAAGUUCCUAAUUUUCUGAUUCAUCGUAAGAACAGCUCUAUAAAUUCCUCCUCUAAUGUAAUGGCAGUUCAUCAUACACACAUGUGCAUGCAUUCUCACGGAUAUGUGUGUAGAUAAGGAAAAGAAAACUAUUAAAUUGUUUUUUUAGUUUUUUAAUAGCUUCCAUUAGAAAACUAUUAUCAUGUCAAAUCUAAUGGAAGCUGUUCUCAACACCUUUCUCCUAUUUUUGUUACAAAUUUGUUUUGCCCACUACGUAGCAGCCUCCUCAGCCUCAUUGAUCUGGAGGAAUCACUUCAUUCCAAAGUACAAGUACACUGCCCAAAGAUCCUGACCUACUGGCUAAUGGGCACAAGAGUAAUUAAAGGUUCCCUUUUAUAUAAAAUAAAAAAAAAUAAAAAUAAAAGAAAAGAAAAAGAAAAUUAAAAAUAGUAAUAAUAAAGUGAGUGACUUCUCCUUGUCCCUCUGGCAUGUGCAGCACCCAUUAACUAGGAUUUUCUCAGUCAUCAUUAGGCCCAAAUAUACUUUGAUGCUGCCAUUGCCAAUAUCUCUUUCAGGGUCCAUUGAUACAACAUUGAAGUAUAAUUUUAUUUUGGAUGUCCUCCAUCCAAUAUCAUCUUUGCAUCACUAUCAACUACUUGACCAUAUAAAAGAGCCAUAAAAGAGUUCACCAUAUCCUGCUUCUUGUAAUAGAAAUAUCUGGUAAACUUAGGAGUGUAGUGUUCUCCAUCCACUAAGCGUUUGCAAUGUUCUGUUAAUGUGAUGUCUCCUGUUUUCAGCUAUCUUUACUAGGUGUUGGAAUCUCCGUCAACAGCCUAUUUCUGUGCCAAACAUCAUGCUAGGAUCUUCUCUGUGCCCCUCAAUACACUAAAGAAAUGAACAUUGAGAAGUUAUCCUGCACUUGCCUUGUACACUUCCAGAGCUCCUUCACAUGUGGAACUGGCACUUCCCCUCCUAAGUACCACUGUCCCUUCUCCCUGUAUCUCCAUUCCACCCCCUCCUUAAUAGGCUAUUCUUUUCCAAUGCCUCAUUUAGAAAACCAUACAGUGGUUUGGUUCCUUAGGUUGAGCUUCAAUAGGUGAUGUUAUAGGUUUGAAUUGUUUGAUAACACUAUAUCAGCACUCAUGGAACUAUCAACUAAGACAGGUGGCAAAACCUUGUCAAAGGUAGCUUUCCUAUAAACAUGGGAGGAGUUUGUACUGGGUUUUGGGCAAUGGCCUGUUUUAGUAGUAAGGAGUCUUAACAAAACAGUGAAAAAGGGUUUAAAUUCCUUGUUUUCCAUUCAUCUUUCUACAUUGAUGUCCUAUGUUUAAUGAAAAAAUUUGAUGCCAUUUCUAACUACCUUGAUCCAAGUUGUACAGUUCUUUUGUCCUCUUAUCAUCCUUUGAGCAACUUAAAGUUGAAUCAAAAUCAGUCCCUUGUUAAAGGCACAAGGAACAAAAUAGUGUAUAAAUAUAAAGGAAAAAUCAUUAGUGGUAGUUACAACUAGGCAUUGGAAAAAGUAGGUUGAAUGGAUUGGAAAAAUGAG
rnacentral:lncRNA from 1 species